UUUUUUCAAAACUUUUACAAAAUUAAUACACAAACGCAAAGUUAUCAGCUUUGAAGCGGCAGGUGGCAGACAAACAGACGGAAGACAUUGAGUAUAAAUAGUUGACUUUGCAAUUUGGCAACAGGUUGAUCUCCUCCAAUGUUUACAUUUCAUAUUAUUUCGUUGCAAAGGGCAAAAACUACAUUCAUUAUCUAAUGAAACGAUAGAUAGAAGAUACCAUAAAUUAUUUAAAGACCAAGUGCAGACAUUGGUGAGUACACCUCCGUUCUGCCUACACGUGAAAUACAAUUUAGAUUGCAGGAACCUGUUGAAGUCGCGUCUCCUUCGGACGCCAUCUUGCGGGGAGCGCGCGCGCGCGUCCGUCGCCAUUGGUGAUCACGUGACACCGCGCAUGCUGCGUGCGCCUACUGGCAAUCCUGAAAAGAUGCAUUUUACUUAUGUUCAUAAAUGCUUGAUUGAUAAGAAUCAAUUGAAAAAACUUGAAAUUAUAAGACACAUUAAAUUUUUAAACAAAUCGUUAUUUUAUUAGGAUAUAAGUGUGAAAAUAUUGUAUCUUCUAUAUAAUUAUAUGACCACAUAAUUAUCUAUA